rnacentral:misc_RNA from 1 species
GAAAUGCGAUAAGUAAUGUGAAUUGCAGAAUUCAGUGAAUCAUCGCAUCUUUGAACGCACAUUGCGCCCAUUAGUAUCCUAGUGGGCAUGCCUGUUCGAGCGUCAUUUCAACCCUUAAGCCCUCGUUGCUUAGCGUUGGGAGCCUACGGCUGCCUUAGCUCCUCAAAUCUAGUGGCGGAGUCGGUUCACACUCUAUACGUAGUAGAUUUAUUCAUUCUCGCCUACGAGUUGGUCCGGUCCCCGGCCGUUAAACUCCCCUUAACUUCCAAAGGUUGACCUCGGAUCAGGUAGGAACGUCCGCUGAACUUAA